CCGAUGCGCUAACUGCAGUCGAGCGACGGAUAGGAGCUUGCUCCUUUGAAGUUAGCGGCGGACGGGUGAGUAACACGUGGGUAACCUACCUAUAAGACUGGAAUAACUUCGGGAAACCGGAGCUAAUGCCGGAUAACAUUUGGAACCGCAUGGUUCUAAAGUAAAAGAUGGUUUUGCUAUCACUUAUAGAUGGACCCGCGCCGUAUUAGCUAGUUGGUAAGGUAACGGCUUACCAAGGCAACGAUACGUAGCCGACCUGAGAGGGUGAUCGGCCACACUGGAACUGAGACACGGUCCAGACUCCUACGGGAGGCAGCAGUAGGGAAUCUUCCGCAAUGGACGAAAGUCUGACGGAGCAACGCCGCGUGAGUGAUGAAGGUUUUCGGAUCGUAAAACUCUGUUAUUAGGGAAGAACAAAUGUGUAAGUAACUGUGCACAUCUUGACGGUACCUAAUCAGAAAGCCACGGCUAACUACGUGCCAGCAGCCGCGGUAAUACGUAGGUGGCAAGCGUUAUCCGGAAUUAUUGGGCGUAAAGCGCGCGUAGGCGGUUUCUUAAGUCUGAUGUGAAAGCCCACGGCUCAACCGUGGAGGGUCAUUGGAAACUGGGAAACUUGAGUACAGAAGAGGAAAGUGGAAUUCCAUGUGUAGCGGUGAAAUGCGCAGAGAUAUGGAGGAACACCAGUGGCGAAGGCGACUUUCUGGUCUGUAACUGACGCUGAUGUGCGAAAGCGUGGGGAUCAAACAGGAUUAGAUACCCUGGUAGUCCACGCCGUANACGAUGAGUGCUAAGUGUUAGGGGGUUUCCCGCCCCUUAGUGCUGCAGCUAACGCAUUAA
rnacentral:rRNA from 1 species